rnacentral:sRNA from 1 species
GGAAACGAUAACGAUUGUCGUAGUGGUGAUAUCGCGCAUGGGCAGGAGGGAAUAGCCCUCCGGCAACCGCCGCCCAUGCGCCGAAAACAGGUCCCUGACGGGGCCUUUUUUAUGCCCCGUC